rnacentral:rRNA from 1 species
AUUGAACGCUGGUGGCAGGCUUAACACAUGCAAGUCGAGCGGGGUGAUGGUGCUUGCACUAUCACUUAGCGGCGGACGGGUGAGUAAUGCUUAGGAAUCUGCCUAUUAGUGGGGGACAACAUCUCGAAAGGGAUGCUAAUACCGCAUACGUCCUACGGGAGAAAGCAGGGGAUCACUUGUGACCUUGCGCUAAUAGAUGAGCCUAAGUCGGAUUAGCUAGUUGGUGGGGUAAAGGCCUUCCAAGGCGACGAUCUGUAGCGGGUCUGAGAGGAUGAUCCGCCACACUGGGACUGAGACACGGCCCAGACUCCUACGGGAGGCAGCAGUGGGGAAUAUUGGACAAUGGGCGGAAGCCUGAUCCAGCCAUGCCGCGUGUGUGAAGAAGGCCUUUUGGUUGUAAAGCACUUUAAGCGAGGAGGAGGCUACUUAGAUUAAUACUCUGGGAUAGUGGACGUUACUCGCAGAAUAAGCACCGGCUAACUCUGUGCCAGCCGCCGCCGUAA